UUACUGAGAAAUGGUAGAGAGAGCGU
rnacentral:sRNA from 1 species